rnacentral:pre_miRNA from 2 species
UCAUGGUCAUGGUCAUGGUCAUGGUCAUGGUCAUGGUCAUGGUCAUGGUCAUGGUCAUGGUCAUGGUCAUGGUCAUGGUCAUGGUCAUGGUCAUCA